AAGAUACUAGUAAAAUUUAUUACGCUGCUUCGUCAAAGUUAAGUUGUGGGUUAAACUCCCGCGUAUCUCG
rnacentral:tRNA from 3 species